rnacentral:rRNA from 1 species
AACGUCGCGAAAGUGACGCUAAGACCGGAUAAGCUCCCGGGUUGUAGAGACCAGAGAGAAAAGGGGCAAGACGCCCGAAGAGGGGGCUGCGGCGCAUCAGCUAGUUGGUGGGGUAAAGGCCUACCAAGGCAACGACGCGUAAGGGGUCUGAGAGGAUGAUCCCUCACACUGGGACUGAGACACGGCCCAGACUCCUACGGGAGGCAGCAGUGAGGAAUAUUGCACAAUGGGGGGAACCCUGAUGCAGCGACGCCGCGUGGGUGAUGACGGCCUUCGGGUUGUAAAGCCCUUUUGCCACUGACGAGAACGGACGGUAGGUGGCGAAUAAGCCUCGGCUAACUACGUGCCAGCAGCCGCGGUAAAACGUAGGAGGCGAGCGUUAUCCGGAGUUACUGGGCGUAAAGCGUGCGCAGGCGGUGCCAUAAGUCAGGUGUGAAAGGUUCCGGCUCAACCGGGAAAACGCGCUUGAGACUGUGGGACUAGAGUGGGAUAGAGGGACGUGGAAUUCCGGGUGGAGCGGUGAAAUGUGUAGAGAUCCGGAG